rnacentral:tRNA from 4 species
UCGGGAUAGCUCAGUCGGUAGAGCAGAGGACUGAAAAUCCUCGUGUCA